UGUUGUUGGUUGUUUUUUUUUCAAAUGAUCUUUGGAUUGAUGUGAAAUGCUAAGCACAUGUUUGUUUUGUGAAGUGAUAAAGUAGUUUCACUUUUCUGUCUACUUAGUAACAAUCUGGCUUGUUUUCCCUCCUUUCUUUCUGGCUUGUGCUGAUUUGUUUGGAUCUGAUUGUUCUGUUUUUUGUUUUUCUCUUUGAGGAUCCUGGAGCCAAGGUGGAAGUGGAGUAUGGUGGUAAAGUAGAAGUUUGCUAGUUAUAUAUUUUCAUGAUUUGCUGUGGGGACAACAUGUAUUCUGGGUUGUGUGGGAAAUUAUGUAGGCCCUAUUACCUGUUUUCUCUCUUCUAAGUUACAGGUUAUGAGGAGCCUCUACAGUCCAGGACGUCAACUUCAACGGACCUGCAACACUGGGCCCAAUUGUGUCUUUAGGGUAGUGUUGUGUAGUUCAGUUCUAUGUUGAUUUGUCUUUGAACCUUUGCAGAAAAGCGACAUCACAGGAUCCUGGAGCUAAGGUAGAAGUGGAGUAUGGAAUGGUGGUAAAGUAGAAGUGAGGUAUUUUUUUCUACUUUUAUAUAUUUUUAUGGUUUGCUUUGGGGACAACACGGGUGUAAUGCGUUAUGUGGGAAAUUGUGUAGUACCCCUGCCCUGUUUGUCGUCUUUUCUAAGGUACAGUUUGAGGAGCCUCCACAGCCCAGGAGGUCGACUUCAACGGACCUGCAACACUGGGCCCAAUUGUGUCUUUAGGGAAAUGUUGUGUAGUUGUAUGUUUUGCUCUUGGAACUUUUGCAGAAAAGCGACAUCACAGGAUCCUGGAGCAAAGGUGGAAGUGGAGUAAGGAAUGGUGGUAAAGUAAAAGUGAGGUGCAAGUUAUUCAUCUCCAGUCCAGGACGUCUACUUCAACGGACCUGCAACACUGGGCCCAAUUGUGUCUUUAGGGAAGUGUUGUGUAGUUGUAUGUUUUGCUCUUUUAACCUUUGCAGAAAAGCGACAUCACAGGAUCCUGGAGCCAAGGUAGAAGUGGAGUUAAGAGUAGUGGUAAAGUAGAAGUGAGGUAUUUUUGCUACUUGUAUAUUUUCAUGAUUUGCUGUGGGGAUAACGCAUGUAUUAUGGGUUAUGUGGGAAAUUGUGUAGUCCCCCCUGCCCCGUUUGUCGCCUUUUCUAAGGUACAGGUUAUGAGGAGCCUCCACAGCCCAGGACGUCGACUUCAACGGACCUGCAACACUGGGCCCAAUUGUGUCUUUAGGGAAAUGUUGUGUACUUCACUGUUUUUCUCUUUGAACCAUUGCAGAAAAGCUGCAUCACAGGAUCCUGGAGCCAAGGUAGAAGUGGAGUCAGGAAUGGUGGUAAAGUAGAAGUGAGGUAAUUUUGCUACUUAUAUUAUUUCAUCAUGAAGUCCCUAUGCCCUGCUUGUCUUUUUUCUUAGGUGCAGGUUAUGAGAAGCCUCUACAGUCCAGGACGUUGAUGUCAAAGUGGAGUCAGGAAUGGUGGUAAAGUAGAAGUGAGGUAUUUUUUGUUUCUUAUAUAUCAUCAUGAAGUCCCUAUGCAGUGUUCUCCUCUUUUCUCGGGUACAGGUUAUGUGCAGCCUCUACAGUCCAGGAUGCCCCAUCUUGACACAAUUUGGGCCCAGUGUUCAACGUUUAAGAUAAGCUACAUCACAGGAUCCUGGAGCCAAGAGAGAAGUGGAGUCAGGAAUGGUGGUAAAGUAGAAGGGAAGUACUUUUGCUACUUAUAUAUCAUCAUGAAGUCCCUAUGCACUGUUUGUCGUCUUUUCUUAGGUACAGGUUCUGCACAGCCUCUCCCUUCAAGGAUGCCCCAUCUUGACACAAUUUGGGCCCAGUGUUCAACGUUGCAUUGAUGUAUUGUAGUAUUGUUGUUUUGCUCUUAUAACUUGCAGAUAAGCUACAUCACAGGAUCCUGGAGCCAAGAGAGAAGUGGAGUCAGGAAUGGUGGUAAAGUAGAAGUGAGGUAUUUUUGCUAGUUAUAUAUUUUCAUCAUGAAGUCACUAUGCCCUGUUUGUCGUCUUUUCUCCUUUCUUAGGUACAGGUUCUGCACAGCCUCUACAGUCCAGGAUACCCUAGCUUGACACAAUUUGGGCCCAGUGUUCAACGUUGCAUUGAUGUAUUGUAGUAUUGUUGUUUUGCUCUUGUAACUUGCAGAUAAGCUACAUCACAGGAUCCUGGAGCCAAGACUGAAGUGGAGUCAGGAAUGGUGGUAAAGUAGAAGUGAGGUGAGGUAUUUUUGCUAGUUAUAUAUUUUCAUCAUGAAGUCACUAUGCCCUGUUUGUCGUCUUUUCUCCUUUCUUAGGUACAGGUUCUGCACAGCCUCUACAGUCCAGGAUACCCUAGCUUUGACACAAUUUGGGCCCAGUGUUCAACGUUAAUGUAUUGAAGUAUUGUAGUAGUGGUGGUGUUUUGCUCUUGUAACUUGCAGAUAAGCAACAUCACAGGAUCCUGGAGCCUAAACCGAAGUGGAGUCAGGAAUGGUGGUAAUGUAGACUUCUGGUUUUGUUUACCACAUUACAAGAGCAUUAUUUAGUUCCUACAUGUUUCAACAAACAUGUAGGUAACAGAAAACACAACAUGUAUUCAAAGCAUCAUUGAUCCCUAAAUGUGGUGAUUCAAUAAUAAUGAUGCCUUUUAAUAUUAAAUGGUAACACUGAUACGCUGUUGUAAUGUGGGUUUUGCUUUACCUUCCAUGUAGAGUCAAAAAGUAAAAGACACCGGUAAUGGCACUCCUAGUUUACUUGGACGGGGUUCAAUUCCCUGCGGUGUCCUGCUGAGAUUGACAAAAACAUGAUGGUGAAUGUUAAAUUCAAAAACUUGUACAAAACAGUAAUGAUAAACUUGAUGAUGAAAGAGUGUUUUGAAGUUCCCCAGUUUCUUACCUUUUUCCAGCUGCCCCCUGUUCUCUGCCUGGAGGCCCUGCCAACAUCUGUUAACCGCUCUGAGGCCCCACUCGGUGGCCCCCUGCAACGCCUGUUCUUCGCUCGGUGACUCGACUGACUCAAGCCUCUUGUCCAACUCCUGCUCCUUUGUUUACUGGGUCUUAAGGAGGCCCCAGUCCCCCCCCUCCAAAGAAUCUCUCUGGUGGGGAUAUUUGUCUUUUUCCCUGUGUGAAGAGCUUGUUUUAUUUUGUGGUUGUUGCAUCUAGUGUCUGGUUUUACUGUCUGUGUUCCUUCCAUUGUGAUUGUGUGCUGAGUGUUUCCACCUGUGUCUUGUUAGCCUCACCUGUUUUAUGACCCCCUGUGAGUAUUUAGUCUCUGUGUAUCCUCCCUUCUGUGUCUAUGUUCUGCUCCCUGUGAUACUGUAGUGUUUUAUUUGAUGUAAAUACAUUUUUAGUUUGUUCAAUAAAACCUAUUA